rnacentral:lncRNA from 1 species
AAAAAAAGCCCAUGACAUUGAUACUGCUAACUUGCUAGAAAUAGUAGUAGUGGAAGAAAAUAGAGGAAAAGAAGAGGGAAAAAACAAGGGGAAGAUCUGAGGAAAAACCUCACCAAGAAUAUGUACCUACGUGGAACAAGAGGUAUUAGAGCUGAACUGAAAGAGAGAGAAAUUCUUGUAUUGAUCACGAAAAGUAAGUGCAAUGUUUUGUACAGCACGAGUAUAAAUAGAAAAGGAAGAGAAGCUAGAAGCUAACUAAAUCCAGCUGUCAACUAACUAACUAACUAAUUAACUAACUGUAUACAAAAUGUAAUGAUAUGUAAUACUCCCCCUCAAAAUGUGCUGUAAAUAUCUUUUACACACAUCUUGGUCAUCAAAGGAGAAAGUAUGGAAGCUGGUAAAGGCUUUGUGAAAGCAUCAGCGAGCUAGUGCUGUGAUCUGACUGGAAGGACCUUAAUCGCCCCAGCUGUGAUCUUGUCACGAAUGAAAUGAAGAUCGAUCUCAAUGUGCUUUGUUUGCUCGUGAAAAGUUGGAUUCUUUGCGAUCUGAAUUGUAGCCAGAUUAUCACAAUAGAUUAUAGCUGGUGAAGUGCUGGCAACCUGAAAAAUCCACUAGUAAUUGAUUUAUCCAAGUAAUUUCACUGACCGUUGAUGCAAGAGCCCGGUAUUCUGCCUCUGCUGAAGAAUGAGAAAUGGUUGGUUCUUAGACUUCCAAGAAACUAGUGAAUCACCAAUGAAAAUGCAAAAGCCAGCAGUAGAUUUUCGCGUAUCAACGCAGGAUCCCCAGUCAGCAUCGAAAAAAGCCUGGAGUUUGAUUGAUGAAUCUGAACCUGACAGUGAAUUAGAAGAGAAAAAAAGACCUUGGCUAGGACUUCUUUUCAAAUAGCGAAGAAGGUGAUGAACGGCCUUGAGAUGAGGUAAUCUUGUUUGAGACAUAAAUUGGCUCAACUUGUGUAGUGCAAAUAUAAUAUCCGGUCGGGUGAGAGUUAAGUGAUAGUCUUAAGUUUGGUAAAAAAUACACUUACGGUGUCUUGAUCUUGAGCUAAAUUCAUUAAUUUCCUCCUUAGUUGGAAAAUCCGAGGGCCAUUGCUUUGCUGAAAUCUCUCUUUGAGAUCGUUCCAGAUCUCGUAUGCAGUAGAAGCAUAGAUUACACUUGCUGAAAUGUCCUUCGAUACUGAGUUAAGUAUCCAAGAUAUCACCAUGUUGUUAUUUCGAAUCCAUGAAUUGACCAGAUCUGGAUCGGUGACUGCUGGUUCCUUCAUGGAUCCAUCAAUGAAGCCGAUUUUAUUCUUAACUGAUAAUGCAAUAGUCAUUGCACGGCUCCAAGAGGCAUAGUUUUCUCCUGUGAGCUGUUGAGACACUAACACCAAUCCAGGACUAUCUGAAUGGUGAAGGAAAUACGGACUGGAAGAUUCAUCAAUGGCGGAUUUGCUUAUGACAGAUCUUGAAUCGGAAGAUUCUGAUUGUGUUUGUUCCAUUGCUGUUUGAAAUUGCUGAAUUAACAACCACGAGAUUCAGAAAUGAAGAAGGUGAAGAUGAUCUAAGCUUAAUUUUCCCGCUCUGAUACCAUAUUGGAACUGAAUUGAGGAAGAGAGAGAAACUCUUUUAUUUGAUCACGGAAAAGUGAGUAGAGUUUUACAACACAAGUAUAAAUAGAAAGGAAACAGAAGAAGCUAGCUAAUUCCAGCUGUCAACUAAUUCCAGCUGUUAACUAACUAAUCAACUAACUAACUAACUGUAUACAAAUGUAAUAAUACGUAAUACUCCCCCUCAAGAUGUGCUGUGAAUAUCUUUUACACACAUCUUGGUCAUCAAAGGAGAAAGUAUGGAAGCUGGUAAAGGCUUUGUGAAAGCAUCAGCGAGCUGGUGCUGUGAUCUGACUGGAAGGACCUUAAUCGCCCCAGCUGUGAUCUUGUCACGAAUGAAAUGAAGAUCGAUCUCAAUGUGCUUUGUUUGCUCGUGAAAAGUUGGAUUCUUUGCGAUCUGAAUUGUAGCCAGAUUAUCACAAUAGAUUAUAGCUGGUGAAGUGCUGGCAACCUGAAAAAUCCACUAGUAAUUGAUUUAUCCAAGUAAUUUCACUGACCGUUGAUGCAAGAGCCCGGUAUUCUGCCUCUGCUGAAGAAAGAAUGAGAAAUGGUUGGUUCUUAGACUUCCAAGAAACUAGUGAAUCACCAAUGAAAAUGCAAAAGCCAGCAGUAGAUUUUCGCGUAUCAACGCAGGAUCCCCAGUCAGCAUCGAAAAAAGCCUGGAGUUUGAUUGAUGAAUCUGAACCUGACAGUGAAUUAGAAGAGAAAAAAAGACCUUGGCUAGGACUUCUUUUCAAAUAGCGAAGAAGGUGAUGAACGGCCUUGAGAUGAGGUAAUCUUGUUUGAGACAUAAAUUGGCUCAACUUGUGUAGUGCAAAUAUAAUAUCCGGUCGGGUGAGAGUUAAGUAAAUCAAUCUUCCAAUGAGCCUCCUGUAUUGGGAUGCAUCUGAUAACAAUUCUCCAUCAAGUGAGCUAAGAACAAUCUUUGGAUCCAUGGGACUGCUAACUGGUUUGCAAUCCAAAUAGCCUGCAUCUUCAAUCAUUUGUAAUGUAUAUUGCCUCUGUGAAAUAAUAAUUCCUGAUGCUGCUCGCGCAAUUUCAAUUCCCAAGAAAAAUUUUAAACAACCCAAAUCCUUGAGCUUGAAUUGAGAGUGCAAGUAUUCCUUUAAUUCUUUAAUAACCUGCAUGUUAGGCCCUGUAAUGACUAUAUCAUCAACAUACACCAAUAAGGCUACAAAGUUAUCUCUUGUGCCCUUUGUAAAAAGGGAGUAAUCUGCUUUAGACUGGUUGAAACCAUGUUGAAUAAGAGAAAGAGAAAACUUGGAAUUCCACUGCCUUGAGGCUUGUUUAAGGCCGUAUAUAGACUUGUGUAAUUUACAAACCAAUUGACACUCCCCCUAUUUGGGAGGUUUAAGAAGGUCAUAGCCAAAAGAAAGGUCCAUAUACACCUCUUCAAACAAAUCUACAUUCAAAAAUGCAUUGUUCACGUCUAGUUGAACCAAGUACCAAUUAUUGUGGCUAGCAAGUGCAAGCAGUACCUUGACAGAUACAGUUUUAGCAACUGGGGAGAAGGUAUCAAAGUAAUCCAAUCCCUCUUGUUGUGUAUAACCCUUGGUGACAAGACGGGCUUUGUGCCUUUCAAGAGACCCAUCAGAUUUGUAUUUGUUUUUAAAAACCCAACGACAACCCACUAUGUGCUUCCCAACUGGUAAGGGAACAAUGGAUCAGGUUUGGUUAAGCUCCAUGGCCUCAAGUUCUAGUUUCAUGGCCUCACUUCAUUGAGGAAGUUUGAUUGCUUGAUGAAAAAAUUGAGGUUCAAAAUGAGUUGAAACAUUCAAGAUGAAUUGACGAUGGGGAGUUGAUAAUCUGUCAUAAGAGACAAAUUGUCCAAUGUGAUGAGAGGGAAGGAUAGGAGGUUGAUGAUUUGGUGAAAGUAAAUUGCAGUGAAAGUCUCUGAGAUAUGUGGGGGGUUUAGAAACUUGGUGAGACUUUCGAACAUUGGGAUAUGACUGAUUUAUGAGAGGUGAAUCAGACCGAGGUAACAAAGGACCAGAAUUAUCAACAGGUGAUGCAUUAGGGGUGUUAUCAAUAGGAACAUCAUGUGGAAUGGAUAGAGAAGAAGAAGGUAGUACGAAAUCAGGAAAAUGAUCUACCAAUUGAUUAGCAUUAGUAAUAGUAUGAAAAGGGAAAAUUUCUUCAUGAAAAAUGGCAUCUCUGGAUAUGAAAAUUUGCUUAGAGGAUACAUCAAAAAAUUUAAAACCUUUGACACCGGGAGGAUAUCCCAAGAAGACACAUACCUUAGCUCGUGGUUGGAAUUUUGUCCUGUGAGCAGUAAGUGUUGAGACAAAUGCCAAACACCCAAAUACUUUGAGGUUGGAAUAAUCUGCCAUUCGGCCAUGUAAGACUUCAAAAGGAGUUUUGUGAUUUAAAAUGUGAGAAGGGGUUCUAUUUAUCAAGAAUGCGGCAGUAAGCACACAUUCUGACCAAAAAUUGAUUGGAACUCUGAAUUGAAAAAAAAAAAAAAGAGAGAGAGAGAACAUGCUACAUUGAGGAGGUACUGGUGUUUUCACUCAACAACUGAAUUUUGCUGUGGUCGUUCAACGCAACUAAACUGAUGUAUCACUCCUCUUUCAACAAAGAAUUCUUUGAAUGAUAAUUCAUGUGCAUUGUCUGAUCGAAAACCUUUAAUGGUAGCAUGAUAUUGUGUGGCAACAAGGUUAAAAAAUCUAUGCACAACUUUCACAGCAUCAGAUUUUUUCCUUAACAUAUAUAACCAUGUGAAUCGAGAAUGAUCAUCAACUAAUGUCAAAAAAUAUCUAUAACCAGAAUGAGAUGUGACAUGAUAAGGGCCCCAUAUGUCACAGUGCACCAAGUCAAAUGGCCUAUUUGAAAGAUGAUUAUGUGAUUCAGAAGAAAGUCUCCUCUGCUUGGCAAGAGAACAAAUGUAACAUGGCAUAUGCUUAUUCCUUUUAUCCUUAACAUACAGUAACUGGUCUUUUAAAGCAUCUAAUUGUUUGAAUGACAAAUGUCCGAGCCUAUUAUGCCAUACACGAGCAGAAACAGCACCAAUGAAAGCAUUAGAGAUUGGAACAAAAUCAAGAUCCUUGGUGUUCAGUACAUAUAAGCUUUGGACAAUGUUACCCUUGCCAAUCAUCCUCCUGCAUGUAGCCUCCUGAAUGAUGAACUGGUUAUGAAAGAAAUUCAAAUUGAGAUUUGAUCCAAUAGUCAAUGAACUAAUUGAUAUCAAGUUGAACUUAAAUUGAGGCACAAAGAGAACAUCACGCAGCAUCAAUUUUGGCCCUAAUCUGACAUCACCACAUAGAUUGACAGGAAUGCGUGUAUGAUUGGGUAAGGUAACACUUGAAUUAACAAUAGGUCUCAAGUUUACAAAUGCAGCAGCAAUUGAACAUACAUGCUUGGAGGCACCUGAAUCCACAAUCCAAAUGUCUUUGGAUGAAAAGGAUGGACUAACCAGUUUAGAAUGAUGUAUACUUGCAUCAUAUGUUGGUUCACCUUUGUUCGGAUCAGUUGAAGGGGACUGUGAACUGGCAGCAAGGUGGGUAGAUAGCAUGGUCAUCAAGUGUUGGUAUUGAUUUGAGUUCAAGUUCUGCAUAAAUUUCUCAAGACCAAGUUGUUGAUCCAUUUCCUUCUCAUCAUUCUGUGAAUUGAUAGAAAUUUGGUUAAUAGAGUUAGAAUUAGAAAAAUGUUGGGGAUUAUCUCUUAACCUUGACUUAUAGUCUGGUGGAAAACCAUGGACUUUAUAGCAUUUGUCAACUGUAUGUCCAUGAUAUUUGCAGUACACACAGUAUGGUCUCUCCUUUUUCCUGUUGCCAAGUUUUGUACUGUCACUAUAAGCGCCAGAAUUGAGUGUUCCUUUGCCUUUAUCAGAUCUAAACGCAAAGGCAGUUUCCCCACUUAAGUCAGUACCAACUGAACAUGUGCACAAUUUUCUCUGAUUCUCCUCUUGUGCAACCAAUGCGAACACUUUAUUAAUUGAUGGCAAAGGAUCCAUGAGAAGAAUCUGGCCUCUAACUUGUGAAAAGGAUUCAUGUAAUCCCAUGAGGAAUGACAUGAUAUAUUCCACCUGAUAAUGUUUGUUUAGUUCCUAAACACCUCCACAAACACACUUUCCACAGCUACAAUUGGGUCGAAAAUUAUUAAUUCUUCCCGGAUAGUCUUAAGUUUGGUAAAAAAAUACACUUACAGUGUCUUGAUCUUGAGCUAAAUUCAUUAAUUUCCUCCUUAGUUGGAAAAUCCGAGGACCAUUACUUUGCUGAAAUCUCUCUUUGAGAUCGUUCCAAAUCUCGUAUGCAGUAGAAGCAUUUAUUACACUUGCUGAAAUGUCCUUCGAGAUUAAGUUAAGUAUCCAAGAUAUCACCAUGUUGUUAUUUCGAAUCCAUGAAUUGACCAGAUCUGGAUCGGUGGCUGUUGGUUCCUUCAUGGAUCCAUCAAUGAAGCCGAUUUUAUUCUUAACUGAUAAUGCAAUAGUCAUUGCACGGCUCCAAGAGGCAUAGUUUUCUCCUGUGAGCUGUUGAGACACUAACACCAAUCCAGGACUAUCUGAAUGGUGAAGGAAGUACGGGCUGGAAGAUUCAUCAAUGGUGGAUUUGUUCAUGACAGAUCUUGAAUCCGAAGGUUCUGAUUGUGUUUGUUCCAUUGCUGUUUGGAAUUGCUGAAAUGAUAACCACAAGAUUUAUAAAUGAAGAAGGUGAAGAUGAUCUCAGCUUAAUUUUCCCGCUCUGAUACCAUAUUAGAGCUGAACUGAAAGAGAGAGAGAAAUUCUUGUAUUGAUCACGAAAAGUAAGUGCAAUGUUUUGUACAGCACGAGUAUAAAUAGAAAAGGAAGAGAAGCUAGAAGCUAACUAAAUCCAGCUGUCAACUAACUAACUAACUAAUUAACUAACUGUAUACAAAAUGUAAUGAUAUGUAAUAAGAGGAGACAAAUUUAUGAAUCAUUGGUGAUAUUGAGAUAAGUGAUGAUUGGAUUUUUGGAGAGGGUGAUACAAUGAUUUUGCAAUUUGUGAGAGGUGAUUUAUGAGAGAG